ensembl:lincRNA
CAUGGACUAUCCUCAGGAAAAUGAGAUCCAGGAAGAGUGACGCCCUCCUCGAACUGAAAG